rnacentral:lncRNA from 1 species
AAGAAACAAAACUAAACUCAAAUAGGGAGAAAAAACAAAACCAAGGUAAGGACAAAACUAACAGUAAGAAAAAUAGAGCACACUAAUGGCCUGGCACCAAGGACAGCCAAACAAAUAAUAAGGGGCGGUGCAAGUCACGAAUAUACUACAGCAGACACGCAAGUCAAGAUAUAGGAGAUAGUACGAUAAAUAAUAUGAAGCAACAUAAGAGGUGACAGUAAUAAAGCAACAACAGGAAAAGGAAGGUACAAGUAAAGUAGAUGGAAUAAUCGCGAAAAAAGUCUAC